AGUGAGCGCUGGCGGUAGGCCUAACACAUGCAAGUCGAACGGCAGCACAGUAAGAGCUUGCUCUUACGGGUGGCGAGUGGCGGACGGGUGAGGAAUACAUCGGAAUCUACUUUUUCGUGGGGGAUAACGUAGGGAAACUUACGCUAAUACCGCAUACGACCUACGGGUGAAAGCAGGGGAUCUUCGGACCUUGCGCGAUUGAAUGAGCCGAUGUCGGAUUAGCUAGUUGGCGGGGUAAAGGCCCACCAAGGCGACGAUCCGUAGCUGGUCUGAGAGGAUGAUCAGCCACACUGGAACUGAGACACGGUCCAGACCCCUACGGGAGGCAGCAGUGGGGAAUUUUGGAAAAGGGGCGCAAGCCUGAUCCAGCCAUACCGGGGGGGUGAAGAAGGCCUUCGGAUUGUAAAGCCCUUUUGUUGGGAAAAAAAAGCAGCAGGUUAAUACCCCGCUGUUCUGACGGUACCCAAAGAAUAAGCACCGGCUAACUUCGU
rnacentral:rRNA from 1 species